AUCGCUUCUCAGCCUUUUGGCUAAGAUCAAGUGAAACUAGUACUUUUUUUUUUUUUUUUUUUUUGAGACGGAGUCUUGCUCUGUUUCCCAGGCUGGAGUGCAGUGGCGCAGUCUCGGCUCACUUCAA
rnacentral:snRNA from 1 species